rnacentral:rRNA from 1 species
GACGGUACCUGAAGAAUAAGCACCGGCUAACUACGUGCCAGCAGCCGCGGUAAUACGUAGGGUGCGAGCGUUAAUCGGAAUUACUGGGCGUAAAGCGUGCGCAGGCGGUUAUACAAGACAGGCGUGAAAUCCCCGGGCUUAACCUGGGAAUGGCGUCUGUGACUGUAUAGCUAGAGUGUGUCAGAGGGGGGUGGAAUUCCACGUGUAGCAGUGAAAUGCGUAGAUAUGUGGAGGAACACCAAUGGCGAAGGCAGCCCCCUGGGAUAACACUGACGCUCAUGCACGAAAGCGUGGGGAGCAAACAGGAUUAGAUACCCUGGUAGUCCACGCCCUAAACGAUGCUGACUAGUUGUUGGGAAUUUACAUUCUCAGUAACGUAGCUAACGCGUGAAGUCAGCCGCCUGGGGAGUACGGUCGCAAGAUUAAAACUC